rnacentral:rRNA from 1 species
CCUACGGGGCGCAGCAGUGAGGAAUAUUGGUCAAUGGACGAGAGUCUGAACCAGCCAAGUAGCGUGAAGGAUGACUGCCCUAUGGGUUGUAAACUUCUUUUAUAUGGGAAUAAAAUGUUCCACGUGUGGGAUUUUGUAUGUACCUUAUGAAUAAGGAUCGGCUAACUCCGUGCCAGCAGCCGCGGUAAUACGGAGGAUCCGAGCGUUAUCCGGAUUUAUUGGGUUUAAAGGGAGCGUAGGUGGAUUGUUAAGUCAGUUGUGAAAGUUUGCGGCUCAACCGUAAAAUUGCAGUUGAAACUGGCAGUCUUGAGUACAGUAGAGGUGGGCGGAAUUCGUGGUGUAGCGGUGAAAUGCUUAGAUAUCACGAAGAACUCCGAUUGCGAAGGCAGUUCACUGGACUGCAACUGACACUGAGGCUCGAAAGUGUGGGUAUCAAACAGGAUUAGAUACCCCAGUAGUC